rnacentral:rRNA from 1 species
UACGUAGGGUGCAAGCGUUGUCCGGAAUUAUUGGGCGUAAAGAGCUCGUAGGCGGUCUGUCGCGUCUGCUGUGAAAACUCGGGGCUUAACCCCGGGCCUGCAGUGGGUACGGGCAGACUAGAGUGCGGUAGGGGAGACUGGAAUUCCUGGUGUAGCGGUGAAAUGCGCAGAUAUCAGGAGGAACACCGGUGGCGAAGGCGGGUCUCUGGGCCGAUACUGACGCUGAGGAACGAAAGCGUGGGGAGCGAACAGG